CCCUCGCCUUUAGUUACCAUCAUUUAGUUGGGUACUCUAAAGGAACCGCCGGUGAUAAGCCGGAGGAAGGUGGGGAUGACGUCAAGUCCUCAUGGCCCUUACGCGCUGGGCUACACACGUGCUACAAUGGCAACUACAGUGGGCAGCAAUCCCGCGAGGGUGAGCUAAUCUCCAAAAGUUGUCUCAGUUCGGAUUGUUCUCUGCAACUCGAGAGCAUGAAGGCGGAAUCGCUAGUAAUCGCGGAUCAGCAUGCCGCGGUGAAUACGUUCCCAGGCCUUGUACACACCGCCCGUCACACCAUGGGAGUUGGAUUCACCCGAAGGCGUUGCGCCAACCCGCAAGGGGAGCAGGCGACCACGGUGGGUUCAGCGACUGGGGUGAAGUCGUAACAAGGUAGCCGUAGGGGAACCUGCGGCUGGAUCACCUCCUU
rnacentral:rRNA from 1 species